rnacentral:rRNA from 1 species
CCCUUAGAUGUUCUGGGUCGCACGCGCGCUACACUGACGGAGCCAACGAGUAUUUUCCUUGUCCGGAAGGACUGGGUAAUCUUGUGAAACUUUGUCGUGCUGGGGAUAGAGCAUUGUAAUUAUUGCUCUUCAACGAGGAAUUCCUAGUAAGCGUGAGUCAUCAGCUCGCGUUGAUUACGUCCCUGCCCUUUGUACACACCGCCCGUCGCUACUACCGAUUGAAUGGCUUAGUGAGCCUUUGGGAUUGGCAGCCAACACCGGCAACGGUAGCUGGCCGCCGAAAACUUAUGCAAACUUGGUCAUUUAGAGGAAGUAAAAGUCGUAACA